rnacentral:rRNA from 1 species
GACGAACGCUGGCGGCGUGCUUAACACAUGCAAGUCGAACGGAAAGGCCCUGCUUUUGUGGGGUGCUCGAGUGGCGAACGGGUGAGUAACACGUGAGUAACCUGCCCUUGACUUUGGGAUAACUUCAGGAAACUGGGGCUAAUACCGGAUAGGAGCUCCUGCUGCAUGGUGGGGGUUGGAAAGUUUCGGCGGUUGGGGAUGGACUCGCGGCUUAUCAGCUUGUUGGUGGGGUAGUGGCUUACCAAGGCUUUGACGGGUAGCCGGCCUGAGAGGGUGACCGGCCACGUUGGGACUGAGAUACGGACCGGACUCCUACGGGAGGCAGAAGUGGGGAAUAGUGCACAAUGGGCGGAAGCCUGAUGCAGCAACGCCGCGUGCGGGAUGACGGCCUUCGGGUUGUAAACCGCUUUCGCCUGUGACGAAGCGUGAGUGACGGUAAUGGGUAAAGAAGCACCGGCUAACUACGUG